CUCGGGGCAGGGGCGUUAACCCUUUGGAGAGUCCUCGCCGGCAGCGCCAGGCGGAAAGGAACGAGAUGCGCGCCAGGAAGGGGCGAUCCCCACAAGAGUGGACCCCUCGACGGGCGAUGCCCCCUUGCAAGCUUGAGACCGAGCGCUUCCCUCUCCUGCCUCCGAAACACCCUGACACGCAUCGUAGCGAUAGAAAUCGUGCGAGAAUCCGGUCCCCACGCGGACUGACGGAAACUUGGCAACAAUCCAGAAUAUUUGCAUUAUUGAUUGGAUAUAAUAACAGCAACAGUAAAUAUAAAUAGAUGAAGUCACAAUUAUCUGUGUGUAAAUGUAAAUGAACUAGUGGUGAAUGGCAUCUUUUAAUACAUACAACAUUUGUACACAAGAUUGUAAGCUGAUGUAAAAACAAUUGUCUAGCAAGAAUUAUUUCAUCAUUUAGCACUUCUUUAAGAGUCUUGUAUGUUAAGAAACUACUGAUAUAACUUGUUUGGGCACAGAACCAUUUUCUGAUUUAUAGAGAGCUUUAUAUAGGCUAGUCAGAUGCAAAAAAAAACCCUGUAAUUUAACAAGUUUAAUUCUUCCUUUUUGAAACAUUUUCCCUUUUACAUAAAGCUACUUUUUCUUUGAGAAACAUUUAGCUUCAGGUGCAUGUGGUGUUUGUUCUUAUACAUCAGAUCAAACUAGCUUAUCUCUAGUUGGUAAAAGCCUACCAAUGACUUUCCUAGCUCUGCUAUUAAGGCCUUUUAUGUGUCAAUAUUGGACUAAACUGACCCCGUUUCCUGGGGAAAUGAUAUGCUAUUAAACUAUGAAAGGAGCCCUUUCAUAUGCAAAUACAUUUUGCCUCAAUAUUUUAAUUGGCAUGGCUAGGUGUUCUCAAAUGAACACCUAUAUUUAAGAUAACUGGUAGAAUUAAAUUAUGGGAAGCAAUGAAAUUCUGUGCAAAAUAGAAUGCUACUGCUUUAAAAUUCAGCUGAACUGCUUUCUCUCAAUUGCCAGCAAUUUUUUUUUUCUUCUAGUGUCGAGAGGGAGGAGUUCACUCUUUCCUGUUAGGGUCUUCUAAGGACAGCAUUGGCACAUGAUUGGAACACAAAUGUCACUUAGGUGGGAAGAAAACUGGAGCAGGAUUCUUGACAGCACAUGAUUAGGAAACAAAGUUCUAACCCAAAAUGUAAAAUGCCAGCACAGGAGGUAGUUGUGCACAGUGUAACAUUCUUACUAGAUGACACCAUGAAUUUGUGGUUAUAGAAAGCAUGCUUGCAUCCUAGUUUGCCUUGUUUGCUGGGUAGCUUUUUCACACAAAUGAUGAAUAAUUAAAAGUAUGUCUUAUAGAAUCCAACAGCAAUUGAUUUCGAAUAAAGUUUCAUGAUCUAUGUGGCUAACUCGC
rnacentral:lncRNA from 1 species